rnacentral:Y_RNA from 1 species
GGCUGGUCGGAAUGCAGUGGUAUUUACAACUAAUUGAUAAGCAGUUACAGAUAUUUUUUGUUCCUUUUCCACUCCCACUGUUUCACUUGACCAGCCUUUA